rnacentral:lncRNA from 1 species
UUACAAUGAGCCCGUCCUCCUAUAGCUCCUUCCACCAGCCUCCACUGCUCAGAUUCUUUCUUCCUUGCUUUAUAUGUCUGAUAAUAUUAUUCUUGGUGUAUAUUCUUCGGUGGGAUAAAUAUUCUGUUAAUUUUAAUGUACUAGACAGGAGUGGUCUAAAAAAAAAGGUGCCACACUGUCUGAAGUCACUGUGUUGUAUAACUAGAACUGCUUCAUCAUUCCUAUUAUAAUAUUAACUGGCUUAUCUGAGGUCUUACUAUAGACAAAACCCUUUGUUGAUUUCUCUGCAACGGAGACUAAACCUGGUUGCUUUGGUUCACACAGUGCUAUGUUUAUAUAACUACACUGCACAUGCCACACAGUACAGUCUGAAAACAAGGUCAUUGAAUCUUCCAGUUUUUUGUUAUGUACGUAUUUUAUAUUUGUUUAGUUCUGGUAUAAUUAUAAUAUUUUGCUUUGGUUGUUUUGUAUGUCUCUUGGUGUAAUGCCUCUGUGUAAGAACAUAUUUCAUUAGAGAAAUUGGGAGAUUCGUUAUACCUUUUGGCAAAUUACAUGUGUUCUUUGUAAAAAACACAAACUUUUUUGUGUGAAUAUUCUCGAAUUGGGAUUGGGGUAAAGGGAAUAUGUUUGGCACAGUUUUCUGUUCACUUUACAGUACACGUAGUUACUUCACAAACCAGAUCAGACCUAUAUUGUAGCAUGCCAUAAUCUCCACUGAAGACUUGUAAUAGCUCCCCAAGCUAUUGCCAAGGUUUUAGCUUAGCGGGCUAACAUAGUCUUGUGGUGCGUUGGACACCUGGGUUUGAACCCAGCCUGUCAGAGUAGCUUGUUGGGUACCUGUGCUCUGCUUCAUCAUGACCCAUCCUCUGCAAGAGGUUCAUCUACAAUUACUGUUGUAUUACUUCAGUAAAAACUGAACACAAUGUUGUACUACUAUAAUAACUGAUCAAUCAUUUGCCUGCAGAACAGGGAUACUGUAUCAUAUAACUCCAAACUUGUAUAUCCACGUAAAAAAAUAUUCAAUUAUUCCGUAAUGAACAUGGUAUCAAUUCUGUGUUAGUAAGUGUCUCUUUAUGUAGUACUAGCAGAAAAGUAGAAUGAAAAUGGACGACUCGUGCUAGAUCCACAUGAGACUGGUGUGUGGAGAAGCAACACAAUUUCUUGCAUGCAUAUGACUCCUUGUAUCAUUCGAACUGUAUGGUAUCUUCAGACAAUGGACAGAUGAUACAAAUAAAAGUUUAGAUAUA